rnacentral:rRNA from 2 species
AGGUUAAGUUAACAAGGGCGCAUGGUGAAUGCCUUGGCACUAGGAGCCGAUGAAGGACGGGACUAACACCGAUAUGCUUCGGGGAGCUGUACGUAAGCUAUGAUCCGGAGAUUUCCGAAUGGGGCAACCCAGCAGUUUUAAUCAACUGUUACCACUAGAUGAAUUCAUAGUCUAGUUGGAGGUAAACGCUGUGAACUGAAACAUCUCAUUAGCAGCAGGAAUAUAAAGAAAUUUCGAUUCCCUAAGUAGCGGCGAGCGAACGGGGAACAGCCCAAACCAAAGUGCUUGCACUUUGGGGUUGUAGGACUGAACAUUUGAGUUACCAAAGAACUUGAUAGUCGAAGGAUUUGGGAAAAUCCGCCAUAGAUGGUGAUAGCCCAGUAGAUUAAAUCAAAUUCUCUCAGUUCAGGAUCCUGAGUACGGCGGAACACGUGAAAUUCCGUCGGAAUCCGGGAGGACCAUCUCCCAAGGCUAAAUACUACCUAGUGACCGAUAGUGAACCAGUACCGUGAGGGAAAGGUGAAAAGCACCCCGGGAGGGGAGUGAAAUAGUUCCUGAAACCAUGUGCCUACAAUAAGUCAGAGCGCGUUAAUGCGUGAUGGCGUGCCUUUUGUAGAAUGAACCGGCGAGUUAUGAUCCCGUGCAAGGUUAAGACUAAAAAGUCGGAGCCGUAGCGAAAGCGAGUCUGAAAUGGGCGUUUUGAGUACGAGGUUAUAGACCCGAAACCAGGUGACCUAUCCAUGUCCAGGUUGAAGGUGCGGUAAAACGCACUGGAGGACCGAACCCGUGUAAGUUGAAAAUUGCUGGGAUGAGGUGUGGAUAGCGGUGAAAUUCCAAACGAACUUGGAGAUAGCUGGUUCUCUCCGAAAUAGCUUUAGGGCUAGCCUCGGAAUUAGGAUCAUGGAGGUAGAGCACUAUUUGGACUAGGGGCCCGUCUUGGGUUACUGAAUUCAGAUAAACUCCGAAUGCCAUUGAUUCAUAUCCGGGAGUCAGACGAUGAGUGAUAAGAUCCACCGUCGAAAGGGGAACAGCCCAGACCAUCAGUUAAGGUCCCUAAAUGUAUGCUAAGUGGAAAAGGAUGUGGAGUUGCAUAGACAACUAGGAUGUUGGCUCAGAAGCAGCCACCAUUUAAAGAGUGCGUAAUAGCUCACUAGUCGAGUGAUCCUGCGCCGAAAAUGUACCGGGGCUAAGCAUACUACCGAAACCAUGGAUGCGACCAUUAGGUCGCGUGAUAGGAGAGCGUUCUAAGGGCGGUGAAGCAAGAUCGUGAGGACUUGUGGAGCGCUUAGAAGUGAGAAUGCCGGUAUGAGUAGCGAAAGAUAGGUGAGAAUCCUAUCCACCGAAUGACUAAGGUUUCCUGGGGAAGGCUCGUCCUCCCAGGGUUAGUCGGGACCUAAGUCGAGGCCGAGAGGCGUAGACGAUGGAUAACAGGUUGAGAUUCCUGUACUAGUUAAGUGCGUUUGAGCAAUGGAGGGACGCAGGAGGCUAAGAUGUGCAUUCUGUUGGAUUAGAAUGUCCAAGCAGUAAGUCUGUGAAGAGUCAAAUGCUUUUCACUUUAAGGACAAGCUGUGAUGGGGAGCGAAAUUUAGUAGCGAAGCGUCUGAUGUCACACUGCCGAGAAAAGCUUCUAGUGAGUACUUAACUACCCGUACCGCAAACCGACACAGGUAGUCGAGGAGAGAAUCCUAAGGUGAGCGAGUGAACUCUCGUUAAGGAACUCGGCAAAAUGACCCCGUAACUUCGGGAGAAGGGGUGCUGAUCGCAAGAUCAGCCGCAGUGAAUAGGCCCAGGCGACUGUUUAUCAAAAACACAGGUCUCUGCAAAAUCGUAAGAUGACGUAUAGGGGCUGACGCCUGCCCGGUGCUGGAAGGUUAAAAGGAUGGGUUAGCUUCGGCGAAGCUCAGAAUUGAAGCCCCAGUAAACGGCGGCCGUAACUAUAACGGUCCUAAGGUAGCGAAAUUCCUUGUCGGGUAAGUUCCGACCCGCACGAAAGGCGUAACGAUCUGGGCACUGUCUCAACGAGAGACUCGGUGAAAUUAUAUUGUCCGUGAAGAUGCGGACUACCCGCGACAGGACGGAAAGACCCCAUGGAGCUUUACUGUAGCUUGAUAUUGAGUGUUUGUACAGCUUGUACAGGAUAGGUAGGAGCCAUAGAAACCGGAACGCUAGUUUCGGUGGAGGCGUUGGUGGGAUACUACCCUCGCUGUAUGACCACUCUAACCCGCACCACUAAUCGUGGUGGGAGACAGUGUCAGGUGGGCAGUUUGACUGGGGCGGUCGCCUCCUAAAAAGUAACGGAGGCGCCCAAAGGUUCCCUCAGAAUGGUUGGAAAUCAUUCGCAGAGUGUAAAGGCACAAGGGAGCUUGACUGCGAGACAGACAGGUCGAGCAGGGACGAAAGUCGGGCUUAGUGAUCCGGUGGUACCGUAUGGAAGGGCCAUCGCUCAACGGAUAAAAGCUACCCUGGGGAUAACAGGCUUAUCUCCCCCAAGAGUCCACAUCGACGGGGAGGUUUGGCACCUCGAUGUCGGCUCAUCGCAUCCUGGGGCUGUAGUCGGUCCCAAGGGUUGGGCUGUUCGCCCAUUAAAGCGGUACGCGAGCUGGGUUCAGAACGUCGUGAGACAGUUCGGUCCCUAUCCGUCGCGGGCGUAGGAAAUUUGAGAGGACCUGUCCUUAGUACGAGAGGACCGGGAUGGACAUACCUCUGGUGUACCAGUUGUGCCGCCAGGCGCAUCGCUGGGUAGCUACGUAUGGAUGUGAUAAACGCUGAAAGCAUCUAAGUGUGAAACACACCUCGAGAUGAGAUUUCCCAUUCCUUUAUGGAAGUAAGACCCCUGAAAGAUGAUCAGGUAGAUAGGUUAGAAGUGGCAGUGUGGUGACGCAUGAAGCGGACUAAUACUAAUCGGUCGAGGACUUAACCAAG